ensembl:misc_RNA Metazoa_SRP Metazoan signal recognition particle RNA
GCCAGGUGUGGUGGCGUGCACCUGUAGUCCCAGCUACUCGGGAGGCUGAGGCAGGAGAAUUGCUUGAACCUGGGAGGCAGAGGUUGCAGUGAGCUGAGAUAGCGCCACUGUACUCCAGCCUAGGUGACAGAGUGAAAUUCUGUCUCAA